GACGAACGCUGGCGGCGUGCUUAACACAUGCAAGUCGAACGGAAAGGCCCUGCUUUUGUGGGGUGCUCGAGUGGCGAACGGGUGAGUAACACGUGAGUAACCUGCCCUUGACUUUGGGAUAACUUCAGGAAACUGGGGCUAAUACCGGAUAGGAGCUCCUGCUGCAUGGUGGUGGUUGGAAAGUUUCGGCGGUUGGGGAUGGACUCGCGGCUUAUCAGCUUGUUGGUGGGGUAGUGGCUUACCAAGGCUUUGACGGGUAGCCGGCCUGAGAGGGUGACCGGGCACAUUGGGACUGAGGUACGGACCAGACUCCUACGGGAGGCAGCAGUGGGGAAUAUUGCGCAAUGGGCGGAAGCCUGAUGCAGAAACGCCGGGUGCGGGAUGACGGCCUUCGGGUUGUAAACCGCUUUCGACUGUGACGAAGCGUGAGUGACGGUAAUGGGUAAAGAAGCACCGGCUAACUACGUG
rnacentral:rRNA from 1 species